UCUACAGGAUGUCGGUGAAGCUGCGAUUCGACUCCCCCUCUGAUGGAGGUUUGGUCAACAGGAGCCGCUCCUUCACCGGGUUCAGCUCUCUGAGUGGACGACGGCGCUCUGCAGCUUUACCCGUCUCAAUGUCCCGACAACAAACCUCCACGCAGUCGGAACCAGCCUGUUUUGGUUCAACGAUGCCGGCGGUUUUGACAGUCUCAGCGGUCGCAGAGCUGCUGCUUUGGGGUUCAUCCGGCUGCGCUGGUUCUAGGGUUUAAGGGCCAGGCUCCGGAGUUGUGGAUUGGAAACAUUGAUUGAUUGAUGUUUAAUUAGUGCAUUAAAAAAUAAAUAAAAUCAUUAAUGAAGUUUCAGCUCAGACCCCACGCUUAAUAAGUCUCCCCCUGGUCCACCUACAUUUCUCCAGGCCCACCCACACAAUAAUUCCUGGCUACGCCACUGAUGUCAGGGAUGUGACAUUGAAGUUGUUGAAGUUCAGUUUUGUUUGACUGUAUUUUAUUUAAUUAUGCGCUGGUUCUUCUGACAUGUUUGUGAUAUCAAGGCUGACACAGAACAAAGUAACAAAGAAACAAAUCCAAGCUUUUUUAUUGGUCUUAAUGUACAUGGAUACAUUUGAAUGGUGUGACAAUGUCCUCUUUGAUUGGAUUAAAAUGUAAUUCUUCCUG